rnacentral:rRNA from 1 species
GAUGAACGCUAGCGGCAGGCCUAACACAUGCAAGUCGAGGGGUAACUAGAGUGAUAGCAAUAUUACUUUGGCUAGACCGGCGCACGGGUGCGUAACACGUAUGCAACCUACCUUAUACUGGGGAAUAACCUCGAGAAAUCGGCGCUAAUACCCCAUAACAUUGCGAAGAGGCAUCUCUUUGCAAUUAAAGCUCCGGCGGUAUAAGAUGGGCAUGCGUCCAAUUAGCUAGUUGGUGAGGUAACGGCUCACCAAGGCUACGAUUGGUAGGGGUUCUGAGAGGAUGGUCCCCCACACUGGUACUGAGACACGGACCAGACUCCUACGGGAGGCAGCAGUGAGGAAUAUUGCGCAAUGGACGAAAGUCUGACGCAGCCAUGCCGCGUGCAGGAUGACGGCCCUAUGGGUUGUAAACUGCUUUUGUACGGGAAUAAACCCUUCUACGUGUAGGAGGCUGAAGGUACCGUAAGAAUAAGCACCGGCUAACUCCGUGCCAGCCGCCGCCGUAACAC